UUCUAUAGGAAUUCCUUUAGGAUACUAUAGGAAUUCCUUUAGGACAAUAUAGGAAUUCCUUUAGGAUUCUAUAGGAAUUCCUUUAGU